rnacentral:rRNA from 1 species
AGAGUUUGAUCCUGGCUCAGAACAAACGCUGGCGGCAUGCCUAACACAUGCAAGUCGAACGAGACCUUCGGGUCUAGUGGCGCACGGGUGCGUAACGCGUGGGAAUUUGCCCUUGGGUUCGGAAUAACAGCGAGAAAUUGCUGCUAAUACCGGAUGAUGACGUAAGUCCAAAGAUUUAUCGCCCAAGGAUGAGCCCGCGUAGGAUUAGCUAGUUGGUGAGGUAAAGGCUCACCAAGGCGACGAUCCUUAGCUGGUCUGAGAGGAUGAUCAGCCACACUGGGACUGAGACACGGCCCAGACUCCUACGGGAGGCAGCAGUGGGGAAUAUUGGACAAUGGGCGAAAGCCUGAUCCAGCAAUGCCGCGUGAGUGAUGAAGGCCUUAGGGUUGUAAAGCUCUUUUACCCGGGAUGAUAAUGACAGUACCGGGAGAAUAAGCUCCGGCUAACUCCGUG